rnacentral:rRNA from 1 species
GACGAACGCUGGCGGCGUGCCUAAUACAUGCAAGUCGAGCGAUCAGGGGUGGUACUUGUACCUCUUGGGUGAGCAGCGGACGGGUGAGUAACGCGUGGGGAAUCUGCCUUUGAGCGGGGGACAACUUCUGGAAACGAAUGCUAAUACCGCAUAAAAACUUUAAACACAAGUUUUAAGUUUGAAAGACGGAAUUGCAUCACUCAAUGAUGGUCCCGCGUUGUAUUAGCUAGUUGGUGAGGUAAAGGCUCACCAAGGGAAAGAUACAUAGCCGACCUGAGAGGGGGAUCGGCCAAACGGGACCUGGACCCGGCACAAGCCUCCUACGGGAGGCAGAAGAGGGAAAUCUUGGGCAAUGGGCGAAAGCCUGACGGAGCAACGCGGCGUGGGUGAUGAAGGUCUUCGGUUCGUAAACCCCUUUUAUAGGGGAAGAACAUGUGUGUAAGUAAAUGUGCACCAAUUGACGGUAACUAAUCAGAAAGCCACGGCUAACUACGUG